AUAUAUAGACUUUUGGGAGACGUAAGUUCUUGUUGUUUAUCUCUCAUCAAACCUACAUUUUUAGGGUCCGAAUGAUGACUGCGUUUUGCGGUGCGGUUCAAAUAGUAACGAAAAUACAUAGAUACAUAUGUAUAUGUAGAGAUUUUGAUACUGUUACAGCACUGUUGCGGUGCGGUUUUGAGUGUGGUCUAUGUCACCAUUCAUAGCCAAGACUCCAAUGAAUCUAUGAUU
rnacentral:sRNA from 1 species